rnacentral:rRNA from 1 species
GAUGAACGCUAGCUACAGGCUUAACACAUGCAAGUCGAGGGGAAACGAUGAGAGAGCUUGCUCUCUUAGGCGUCGACCGGCGCACGGGUGAGUAACGCGUAUCCAACCUACCCAUUACAGGGGGAUAACCUUGCGAAAGUAAGACUAAUACCCCAUGGCAUUUUAUGGUGGCAUCAUUAUAGGAUUAAAGAUUUAUUGGUAAUGGAUGGGGAUGCGUCUGAUUAGCUUGUUGGCGGGGUAACGGCCCACCAAGGCAACGAUCAGUAGGGGUUUUGAGAGGAAGGUCCCCCACAUUGGAACUGAGACACGGUCCAAACUCCUACGGGAGGCAGCAGUGAGGAAUAUUGGUCAAUGGGCGAGAGCUUGAACCAGCCAAGUAGCGUGCAGGAUGACGGCCCUAUGGGUUGUAAACUGCUUUUAUAGGGGAAUAAAGUGAGCUACGUGUAGUUUAUUGCAUGUACCCUAUGAAUAAGGACCGGCUAAUUCCGUG